CGUCAGCUCGUGUCGUGAGAUGUUGGGUUAAGUCCCGCAACGAGCGCAACCCUUGUCCUGUGUUGCCACUCUUCGGAAGCACUCUCAGGAGACCGCCAGCGACAAGCUGGAGGAAGGUAGGGAUGACGUCAAGUCAUCAUGGCCUUUAUGUCCAGGGCUACACACGUGCUACAAUGACCGGUACAAAGCGCUGCAAACCCGCGAGGGGGAGCCAAUCGCAAAAAACCGGUCUCAGUUCGGAUUGCAGGCUGCAACUCGCCUGCAUGAAGCUGGAAUCGCUAGUAAUGGCGUAUCAGAAUGACGCCGUGAAUACGUUCCCGGGCCUU
rnacentral:rRNA from 1 species